rnacentral:rRNA from 1 species
AUACGUAGGGUGCAAGCGUUAAUCGGAAUUACUGGGCGUAAAGCGUGCGCAGGCGGUUUUGUAAGACAGUGGUGAAAUCCCCGGGCUCAACCUGGGAACUGCCAUUGUGACUGCAAGGCUGGAGUGCGGCAGAGGGGGAUGGAAUUCCGCGUGUAGCAGUGAAAUGCGUAGAUAUGCGGAGGAACACCGAUGGCGAAGGCAAUCCCCUGGGCCUGCACUGACGCUCAUGCACGAAAGCGUGGGGAGCAAACAGGUUUAGAUACCCUGGUAGUCCACGCCCUAAACGAUGUCAACUGGUUGUUGGGUCUUCAUUGACUCAGUAACGAAGCUAACGCGUGAAGUUGACCGCCUGGGGAGUACGGCCGCAAGGUUGAAACUCAAAGGAAUUGACGGGG